GUGUCUAUGGUGUAAUGGCAGCACAACAGGUUGUGGUCCUGUUAGUUCGGGUUCGAACCCCGAUAGACACCCCA
rnacentral:tRNA from 1 species